UACGAAGGGGGCUAGCGUUGCUCGGAAUCACUGGGCGUAAAGGGUGCGUAGGCGGGUUUUUAAGUCAGAGGUGAAAUCCUGGAGCUCAACUCCAGAACUGCCUUUGAUACUGAAAGUCUUGAGUAUGGGAGAGGUGAGUGGAACUGCGAGUGUAGAGGUGAAAUUCGUAGAUAUUCGGAAGAACACCAGUGGCGAAGGCGGCUCACUGGACUGGUAUUGACGCUCAUGCACGAAAGCGUGGGGAGCAAACAGG
rnacentral:rRNA from 1 species